AUUGAACGCUGGCGGCAGGCCUAACACAUGCAAGUCGAGCGGAAACGAAGGGGUGCUUGCACCUCAGGCGUCGAGCGGCGGACGGGUGAGUAACGCGUAGAAAUCUGCCCAGUAGUUGGGGAUAGCCCGGAGAAAUCCGGAUUAAUACCGAAUAAGCUCUUAGGAGGAAAGUGGGGGACCUUUCGGGGCCUCACGCUAUUGGAUGAGUCUGCGUAGGAUUAGCUAGUUGGUGGGGUAAAGGCCUACCAAGGCGACGAUCCUUAGCUGGUCUGAGAGGAUGAUCAGCCACACUGGGACUGAGACACGGCCCAGACUCCUACGGGAGGCAGCAGUGAGGAAUAUUGGACAAUGGGGGCAACCCUGAUCCAGCCAUGCCGCGUGUGUGAAGAAGGCCUUCGGGUUGUAAAGCACUUUCAGUGGUGAGGAAGUCUUACCCUUAAUAAGGGUGAGUCACUGACGUUAGCCACAGAAGAAGCACCGGCUAACUCCGUGCCAGCAGCCGCGGUAAUACGGAGGGUGCGAGCGUUAAUCGGAAUUACUGGGCGUAAAG
rnacentral:rRNA from 1 species